CUCGCUUCCUGGCGCUGCGUUUCAGCGUGCGUUCCAUUCACUUCCUGUAUCAUGCGUGCGUUUCACUUACGUCCUAUGAUCAGCGUGCGUUCCAUUUACUUCCUGUAUCCAGCGUGCGUUCCAUUUACUUCCUGUAUCCAGCGUGCGUUCCAUUACAGUUUGUGAGGCUGUUGGUGAUCAGUAAUCAGUUUAAUGUAACGCUCAGACUUGUGGGAAGUCUGUCACCAUGACAACUAGAUGCUGGGAAUUGCAGUCACUGCUAGUAGCACGGUUAGUGGGGGAAGGGCUGGAUGCUGGGGAUUGUAGUCACUGCUAGUAGGACGGUUAGUGGGGGAAGGGCUGGAUGCUGGGGAUUGUAGUCACUGCUAGUAGGACGGUUAGUGGGGGAAGGGCUGGAUGCUGGGGAUUGUAGUCACUGCUAGUAGCACGGUUAGUGGGGGAAGGGCUGGAUGCUGGGAAUUGCAGUCACUGCUAGUAGGACGGUUAGUGGGGGAAGGGCUGGAUGCUGGGAAUUGCAGUCACUGCUAGUAGCACGGUUAGUGGGGGAAGGGCUGGAUGCUGGGAAUUGUAGUCACUGCUAGUAGGACGGUUAGUGGGGGAAGGGCUGGAUGCUGGGAAUUGUAGUCACUGCUAGUAGCACGGUUAGUGGUGGAAGGGCUGGAUGCUGGGGAUUGUAGUCACUGCUAGUAGCACGGUUAGUGGUGGAAGGGCUGGAUGCUGGGGAUUGUAGUCACUGCUAGUAGGACGGUUAGUGGGGGAAGAGCUGCAUGCUGGGACCAGUCACUGGCUAGUAGCACCUAGUUGGCGGUGGAAGGGCCGGAUGCCGGGGAUUGUAGUCACCGCCAGCAGCACGGUUAGUGCGGAAGGGCCGUGGAUGCUGGGAUUGUAGUCACGCCAGUGCAGGACGGUUUAGCGGGUGGCGAGCCGUAGCCGGGGAUUGUAGUCACCGCUGUGGGGUAGGGACGGUUAGUGGAGGGGAAGGGCUCCACUAGUCACUGCUGUGCAGACGGUGCUUGCGGGGAAGGGGCUGGAUGCUGGGAUUGGUAGUCACUGCUAGUGCACGGUUAGUGGAGGGAAGUGCUGCAUGCUGGGAUUGUAGCCACUGCUAGUAGCACGGUUAGGGGGGGAAGGGCUGGAUGCUGGGGAUUGUAGUCACUGCUAGUAGGACGGUUAGUGGUGGAAGGGCUGGAUGCUGGGGAUUGUAGUCACUGCUAGUAGGACGGUUAGUGGUGGAAGGGCUGGAUGCUGGGGAUUGUAGUCACUGCUAGUAGGACGGUUAGUGGGGGAAGAGCUGCAUGCUGGGGAUUGUAGUCACUGCUAGUAGGACGGUUAGUGGUGGAAGGGCUGGAUGCUGGGGAUUGUAGUCACUGCUAGUAGGACGGUUAGUGGGGGAAGAGCUGCAUGCUGGGGAUUGUAGUCACUGCUAGUAGGACGGUUAGUGGAGGGAAGGGCUCCACUAGUCACUGCUAGUAGGACGGUUAGUGGGGGAAGGGCUGGAUGCUGGGGAUUGUAGUCACUGCUAGUAGCACGGUUAGUGGAGGGAAGUGCUGCAUGCUGGGGAUUGUAGUCACUGCUAGUAGCACGGUUAGUGGAGGGAAGGGCUGCAUGCUGGGGAUUGUAGUCACUGCUAGUAGCACGGUUAGUGGAGGAAGGGCUGGAUGCUGGGGAUUGUAGUCACUGCUAGUAGCACGGUUAGUGGAGGGAAGGGCUGCAUGCUGGGGAUUGUAGUCACUGCUAGUAGCACGGUUAGUGGAGGGAAGG